ACCCCCUUAGCUCAGCGGAAGAGCAGCGGGCUUCGAACCCGUGCGCGGGCGUUCGAAUCGCUCAGGGGGUGCCA
rnacentral:tRNA from 1 species